GCCAUCAUUCAGUUGGGCGACUUUAGAGAGACUGCCGGUGGUUAAGCCGGAGGAAGGUGGGGAGUGACGUCAAGUCCUCAUGGCCUUUAUGUCUAGGGCUACACACGUGCUACAAUGGGUGGUACAAAGAGCAGCUAACUCGCGAGAGUAUGCAAAUCUCAAAAAGCCAUCCUCAGUUCGGAUUGGAGUCUGCAACUCGACUCCAUGAAGUUGGAAUCGCUAGUAAUCGCGGAUCAGCAUGCCGCGGUGAAUACGUUCCCGGGCCUU
rnacentral:rRNA from 1 species